rnacentral:rRNA from 1 species
CAGUCGAGGGGCAGCGGUGGUGAAGGCUUGCCUUCACCAGCCGGCGACCGGCGCUUGGGUGAGUAACACGUAUGCAACCUGCCUGCCACAGCCGGAUAAUCGGGAGAAACCCCGUCUAAUACGGCAUAAUGCAUCGACGGGACAUCCUGUUGGUGCCAAAGGUUAAUUCCGGUGGCGGAUGGGCAUGCGUCGCAUUAGUUAGUUGGCGGUGUAACGGACCACCAAGACGACGAUGCGUAGGGGUUCCGAGAGGAAGGUCCCCCACACUGGUACUGAGACACGGACCAGACUCCUACGGGAGGCAGCAGUGAGGAAUAUUGGUCAAUGGGCGGGAGCCUGAACCAGCCAAGUCGCGUGAGGGGAUGACGGCCCUAUGGGUUGUAAACCUCUUUUGCCGGGGAGCAAAGUGCCGCACGUGUGCGGUUUGGAGAGUACCCGGAGAAAAAGCAUCGGCUAACUCCGUGCCAGCAGCCGCGGUAAUACGGAGGAUGCGAGCGUUAUCCGGAUUUAUUGGGUUUAAAGGGUGCGUAGGCGGACGCUUAAGUCAGCGGUAAAAUUGCGGGGCUCAACCUCGUCGAGCCGUUGAAACUGGGUGCCUUGAGUGGGCGAGAAGUACGCGGAAUGCGUGGUGUAGCGGUGAAAUGCAUAGAUAUCACGCAGAACUCCGAUUGCGAAGGCAGCGUACCGGCGCCCAACUGACGCUGAAGCACGAAGGCGUGGGUAUCGAACAGGAUUAGAUACCCUGGUAGUCCACGCAGUAAACGAU